CUGGAAUGAUGAUUAAUGGACAGCAUGAGACAGCAGUUGAGUUGUUUGAAAAGUUGGAUUCCGAGGGACUUAAGCCUGAUUCAGCGACGUGGAAUUCACUGAUCAG
rnacentral:misc_RNA from 1 species